ACUGCGAAUGGCUCAUUAAAUCAGUUAUCGUUUAUUUGAUAGUACCUUACUACUUGGAUAACCGUGGUAAUUCUAGAGCUAAUACAUGCUAAAAACCCCAACUUCGGGAGGGGUGUAUUUAUUAGAUAAAAAACCAAUGCCCUUCGGGGCUCCUUGGUGAUUCAUAAUAACUUCUCAGAUCGCAUGGCCUUGCGCCGGCGACGGUUCAUUCAAAUUUCUGCCCUAUCAACUUUCGAUGGUAAGGUAUUGGCUUACCAUGGUUUCAACGGGUAACGGGGAAUUAGGGUUCGAUUCCGGAGAGGGAGCCUGAGAAACGGCUACCACAUCCAAGGAAGGCAGCAGGCGCGCAAAUUACCCAAUCCCGACACGGGGAGGUAGUGACAAUAAAUACUGAUACAGGGCUCUUUAGGGUCUUGUAAUUGGAAUGAGUACAAUUUAAACCUCUUAACGAGGAACAAUUGGAGGGCAAGUCUGGUGCCAGCAGCCGCGGUAAUUCCAGCUCCAAUAGCGUAUAUUAAAGUUGUUGCAGUUAAAAAGCUCGUAGUUGAACCUUUGGCCUGGCUGGCGGGUCCGCCUCACCGCGUGCACUCGUCCGGCCGGGCCUUUUCUUCUGGAGAACCGCAUGCCCUUCACUGGGUGUGUUGGGGACCAGGACUUUUACUUUGAAAAAAUUAGAGUGUUCAAAGCAGGCCUUUGCUCGAAUACGUUAGCAUGGAAUAAUAGAAUAGGACGUGCGGUCCUAUUUUGUUGGUUUCUAGGACCGCCGUAAUGAUUAAUAGGGACAGUCGGGGGCAUCAGUAUUCAAUUGUCAGAGGUGAAAUUCUUGGAUUUAUUGAAGACUAACUACUGCGAAAGCAUUUGCCAAGGAUGUUUUCAUUAAUCAGUGAACGAAAGUUAGGGGAUCGAAGACGAUCAGAUACCGUCGUAAUCUUAACCAUAAA
rnacentral:rRNA from 1 species